AGCUGACAUUUCAUACUAUUGUUUUAACUGUAGAAGGCAGAAAAUGAUAUGGUUGGAUGGACAGUUGGAAGGAAGGAGAAAGAUAAGUAGAAAAGAAGGAAGAAUUUCAGAUAGAUGAUUCUGGAACAAAUAAUGAAGAAUUUUAUAGCAACCAUAUUUAGCACCAUUGAUUACAAUCUGUAAGAUCAAUUAUGAAGAUUCAUUAAUAGGUGAACAUUGGUCUAGAACCUAUAAGUUUUUUCCAACCCUGAGAUUAAUGAGCAAGACUGUGUGACUGGGAAAAUAACAUUUUGGAAAAGAAGAGAGCAAGAAAGCAAGAAAGAGAGGAGGAAAAAAGAAACCGUUCCAUCAUGGUAGGAAAAAACAAACCAACAAGAAAACACCAAAGAAACUUAGAAGAAGCCUGCCAGUCUUCCAUCUGUACCGUGCUGUUGGAUUCCCCUCGCUCUUGAUUCCCAGAUGACUCUCGCGCUCAUUAAAGGUCACCUCGCAGACACUAAAAUGCUACUUUACAAGAAUCAGAAAAAGCAAUUCUUCAAAUCCAGUUCCCACACCAGGAUUUGAAUGCAACAAGUUCCAAAUGCACUGUAGUUCAGCAAUACUUAAGUAUGUUCUACUGCAUCUCAGGCCCUGAGCAAGCAGCAGGCACUCCCAAUUUCGCUUUUGGCAAAUUUUCACUAAGUACUUUCCCUCCCCAAACAUGUAUCUAAAUCCACGACUUUUAAACCUUUAUAAACAUGCAAACCCCUCCCUUCUGAAAGCUUUUGAGUGAGCACUCCGCAGUCUGGCUCUUCUCCUGCAGAGUGGCUUUACGGUAGGGGUCUGUUUACAUGUUUGCUACAGGUAGUUGCGGCUGUGACUGUAUCUUGCAGAUAAGACACCUGACAUCUUGGAGAUACCUGACAUCUUUCAACAGGGCUUGAUUCAAAGACAAAUCAAAAUUUUAAUUUAGAAAGGAAAAAAAGAGAGAGACCUCCUUUCUGCUCUGAGAGUGCAGACUCCUGGACAGGGAGCUCACCAAACCGACUCUAUUUCCUCACCUUGCCUCGGCUCCCACAUCUGUGGGCGCAGAGAAAGCUGAAGCGCUGACAUGCUUCCUGGAUCCUCAAGCACUUGUGGGAUUGCCU